rnacentral:tRNA from 1 species
UAGGAAGUAGUAUAUCGGGAGUACGGGGGGUUUUGAUCUCUCAGGUGCAGGUUCAAUUCCUGCUUUUCUAA